rnacentral:rRNA from 1 species
GGCUCAACCCAGAGACUGCUUCCGAAACUGCUGUGCUUGAGUGUGGGAGAGGCGCGUGGAAUCGCACGUGUAACGGUGAAAUGCGUAGAUAUCUGCAAGAACACCCGUGGCGAAAGCGGCGCGCUGGACCACUACUGACGCUGAAGAACGAAAGCUAGGGGAGCAAACAGGAUUAGAUACCCUGGUAGUCCUAGCCCUAAACGAUCAGGACUUGGGGUGCCGCACGUUCGUGCGUCGUCCCGGAGCUAACGCGUCAAGUCCUGCACCUGGGGAGUACGGUCGCAAGACUGAAACUCAAAGGAAUAGACGGGGGCCCGCACAAGCGGUGGAACAUGUGGUUCAAUNCGACGCUACGCGAGGAACCUUACC